UGGGGAAUUUUGGACAAUGGGCGCAAGCCUGAUCCAGCCAUGCCGCGUGAGUGAAGAAGGCCUUCGGGUUGUAAAGCUCUUUCAGUUGGGAAGAAACGAUUGCAACUAAUAAUUGUAAUUAAUGACGGUACCGACAGAAGAAGCACCGGCUAACUACGUGCCAGCAGCCGCGGUAAUACGUAGGGUGCGAGCGUUAAUCGGAAUUACUGGGCGUAAAGGGUGCGCAGGCGGUUUUGUAAGUCAGAUGUGAAAUCCCCGGGCUUAACCUGGGAAUGGCGUUUGAAACUGCAAGGCUAGAGUGUAGCAGAGGGGAGUGGAAUUCCGCGUGUAGCAGUGAAAUGCGUAGAUAUGCGGAGGAACACCGAUGGCGAAUGCAGCCUCCGUGGCUAACACUGACGCUCA
rnacentral:rRNA from 1 species